rnacentral:rRNA from 1 species
AACGAACGCUGGCGGCAGGCCUAACACAUGCAAGUCGAACGCUCUCUUCGGAGGGAGUGGCAGACGGGUGAGUAACGCGUGGGAAUCUACCCAGCUCUACGGAAUAACGCAUGGAAACGUGUGCUAAUACCGUAUACGCCCCAUGGGGGAAAGAUUUAUCGGAGUUGGAUGAGCCCGCGUCUGAUUAGCUAGUUGGUGAGGUAAUGGCUCACCAAGGCGACGAUCAGUAGCUGGUCUGAGAGGAUGACCAGCCACACUGGGACUGAGACACGGCCCAGACUCCUACGGGAGGCAGCAGUGGGGAAUAUUGGACAAUGGGCGCAAGCCUGAUCCAGCCAUGCCGCGUGAGUGAUGACGGCCUUAGGGUUGUAAAGCUCUUUCACCGGUGAAGAUAAUGACGGUAACCGGAGAAGAAGCCCGGCUAACUUCGUG